ACUCAAAUGAAUUGACGGGGGCCCGCACAAGCAGCGGAGCGUGUGGUUUAAUUCGAUGAUACGCGAAGAACCUUACCUGGGUUUGACAUAUGGGUAGUAGUGAAGCGAAAGCGGAACGACCCUUCGGGGAGCCUUUACAGGUGCUGCAUGGCUGUCGUCAGCUCGUGUCGUGAGAUGUUGGGUUAAGUCCCGCAACGAGCGCAACCCUCGUCGUUAGUUACAAGUGUCUAACGAGACUGCUGGUUUCAAACCGGAGGAAGGUGGGGAUGACGUCAAGUCAGCAUGGUCUUUAUGUCCAGGGCUACACACACGCUACAAUGGCCGGUACAAUUGGUUGCCACACCGCGAGGUGGAGCUAAUCCUAAAAGCCGGUCUCAGUUCAGAUUGCAGUCUGCAACUCGACUGCAUGAAGGUGGAGUUGCUAGUAACCGCGCGUCAGCCAUAGUGCGGUGAAUGCGUUCCCGGGCCUUGUACACACCGCCCGU
rnacentral:rRNA from 1 species